rnacentral:rRNA from 1 species
CAUGCCGCAGCUUACCAUGCAAGUCGAACGAGAGGAUGAGGAAGCUUGCUUCUUCAGAAUCGAGUGGCAAACGGGUGAGUAACGCGUAAACAACCUGCCCCCGGGAUGGGGACAACAGCUGGAAACGGCUGCUAAUACCGAAUACGAUCAUACUGCCGCAUGGCAGCAUGAUGAAAGGAUGGCCUCUUAAAAAAGCUAUCGCACGGGGAGGGGUUUGCGUCUGAUUAGCUGGUUGGAGGGGUAACGGCCCACCAAGGCGAUGAUCAGUAGCCGGUCUGAGAGGACGAACGGCCACAUUGGAACUGAGACACGGUCCAGACUCCUACGGGAGGCAGCAGUGGGGAAUCUUCCGCAAUGGGCGAAAGCCUGACGGAGCAACGCCGCGUGAGUGAAGACGGCCUUCGGGUUGUAAAGCUCUGUUAUAUGGGACGAACGGCUGUGGGGCCAAUACCCCCGCAGCGUGACGGUACUGUAAGAGAAAGCCACGGCUAACUACGUGCCAGCAGCCGCGGUAAUACGUAGGUGGCAAGCGUUGUCCGGAAUUAUUGGGCGUAAAGGGCGUGCAGGCGGCUGAUCAAGUCUGUCUUAAAAGUGCGGGGCUUAACCCCGUGAUGGGACGGAAACUGAUUGGCUAGAGUGUCGGAGAGGAAAGCGGAAUUCCUAGUGUAGCGGUGAAAUGCGUAGAUAUUAGGAGGAACACCAGUGGCGAAAGCGGCUUUCUGGACGACAACUGACGCUGAGGCGCGAAAGCCAGGGGAGCGAACGGGAUUAGAUACCCCGGUAGUCCUGGUCGUAAACGAUGGGUACUAGUGUGGGAGGU